UAACCUGCCCAAGAGAUCGGGAUAACACCUGGAAACAGAUGCUAAUACCGGAUGACAACAGAUGAUGCCUAUCAACUGUUUAAAAGAUGGUUCUGCUAUCACUCUUGGAUGGACCUGCGGUGCAUUAGCUAGUUGGUAGGGUAACGGCCUACCAAGGCGAUGAUGCAUAGCCGAGUUGAGAGACUGAUCGGCCACAUUGGGACUGAGACACGGCCCAAACUCCUACGGGAGGCAGCAGGU
rnacentral:rRNA from 1 species